rnacentral:rRNA from 2 species
UGGGGGAUAUUGCACAAUGGAGGAAACUCUGAUGCAGCAACGCCGCGUGAGGGAAGACGGUCUUCGGAUUGUAAACCUAAGUUAUCAGGGACGAUUAUGACGGUACCUGAAGAGAAAGCUCCGGCUAACUACGUGCCAGCAGCCGCGGUAAUACGUAGGGAGCGAGCGUUGUCCGGAUUUACUGGGUGUAAAGGGUGCGUAGGCGGGCUGGCAAGUCAGGCGUGAAAUCCCGGGGCUUAACUCCGGGGCUGCGCUUGAAACUGUCGGUCUUGAGUGAGGUAGAGGCAAGCGGAAUUCCUAGUGUAGCGGUGAAAUGCGUAGAUAUUAGGAGGAACACCAGUGGCGAAGGCGGCUUGCUGGGCCUUAACUGACGCUGAGGCACGAAAGCGUGGGGAGCAAACAGG